UGUGCAUGCAAGUUUGUGUGUACCUAUGCAU
rnacentral:piRNA from 1 species